CGAACUUCCGUUAAUUGAUUAUGACGUACUUGUACUGAUUGAGAUUUUAACACGAAGUGAGUGGCGAACGGGUGAGUAACACGUGGGUAACCUGCCCAGAAGUAGGGGAUAACACCUGGAAACAGAUGCUAAUACCGUAUAACAGAGAAAACCGCAUGGUUUUCUUUUAAAAGAUGGCUCUGCUAUCACUUUUGGAUGGACCCGCGGCGUAUUAGCUAGUUGGUGAGGUAAAGGCUCACCAAGGCAGUGAUACGUAGCCGACCUGAGAGGGUAAUCGGCCACAUUGGGACUGAGACACGGCCCAGACUCCUACGGGAGGCAGCAGUAGGGAAUCUUCCACAAUGGACGCAAGUCUGAUGGAGCAACGCCGCGUGAGUGAAGAAGGGUUUCGGCUCGUAAAGCUCUGUUGUUAAAGAAGAACGUGGGUAAGAGUAACUGUUUACCCAGUGACGGUAUUUAACCAGAAAGCCACGGCUAACUACGUGCCAGCAGCCGCGGUAAUACGUAGGUGGCAAGCGUUAUCCGGAUUUAUUGGGCGUAAAGCGAGCGCAGGCGGUCUUUUAAGUCUAAUGUGAAAGCCUUCGGCUCAACCGAAGAAGUGCAUUGGAAACUGGGAGACUUGAGUGCAGAAGAGGACAGUGGAACUCCAUGUGUAGCGGUGAAAUGCGUAGAUAUAUGGAAGAACACCAGUGGCGAAGGCGGCUGUCUGGUCUGCAACUGACGCUGAGGCUCGAAAGCAUGGGUAGCGAACAGGAUUAGAUACCCUG
rnacentral:rRNA from 1 species